CCUACGGGAGGCAGCAGUGGGGAAUUUUGGACAAUGGGCGCAAGCCUGAUCCAGCAAUGCCGCGUGAGUGAAGAAGGCCUUCGGGUUGUAAAGCUCUUUUGUCAGGGAAGAAACGGCUCCAGCUAAUAUCUGGGGCUAAUGACGGUACCUGAAGAAUAAGCACCGGCUAACUACGUGCCAGCAGCCGCGGUAAUACGUAGGGUGCAAGCGUUAAUCGGAAUUACUGGGCGUAAAGCGUGCGCAGGCGGUUUUGAAGUCUGUCGUGAAAGCCCCGGGCUCAACCUGGGAAUUGCGAUGGAGACUGCAAGGCUUGAAUCUGGCAGAGGGGGGUAGAAUUCCACGUGUAGCAGUGAAAUGCGUAGAGAUGUGGAGGAACACCGAUGGCAAGGCAGCCCCCUGGGUCAAGAUUGACGCUCAUGCACGAAAGCGUGGGGAGCAAACAGGAUUAGAUACCCUGGUAGUCCACGCCCUAAACGAUGUCUACUAGUUNUCGGGUUUUAAUUAACUCGGUAACGCAGCUAACGCGUGAAGUAGACGCCUGGGGAGUACGGUCGCAAAGNUUAAAACCNAAAGUGAUAGAGNGNGAGAGNGCGAGACGACGACGAGGAGGAGG
rnacentral:rRNA from 1 species